GGAUUGUGGCUCAGUGGUAGAGCGCUUGCCUAGCAUGUGUGAGGCACUGGGUUUGAUUCUCAUCACCA
rnacentral:tRNA from 1 species